rnacentral:rRNA from 1 species
GCGGAGGGACAUUAUAGAGUUUUCUAAACUCCCAACCCAUGUGAACUUACCUUUUGUUGCCUCGGCAGAAGUUAUAGGUCUUCUUAUAGCUGCUGCCGGUGGACCAUUAAACUCUUGUUAUUUUAUGUAAUCUGAGCGUCUUAUUUUAAUAAGUCAAAACUUUCAACAACGGAUCUCUUGGUUCUGGCAUCGAUGAAGAACGCAGCGAAAUGCGAUAAGUAAUGUGAAUUGCAGAAUUCAGUGAAUCAUCGAAUCUUUGAACGCACAUUGCGCCCAUUAGUAUUCUAGUGGGCAUGCCUGUUCGAGCGUCAUUUCAACCCUUAAGCCUAGCUUAGUGUUGGGAAUCUACUUCUYUUAKKAGUUGUAGUUCCUGAAAUACAACGGCGGAUUUGUAGUAUCCUCUGAGCGUAGUAAUUUUUUUCUCGCUUUUGUUAGGUGCUAUAACUCCCAGCCGCUAAACCCCCAAUUUUUUGUGGUUGACCUCGGAUCAGGUAGGAAUACCCGCUGAACUUAAGCAUAUCAAUAAGCGGAGGAAAAGAAACCAACAGGGAUUGCCUUAGUAACGGCGAGUGAAGCGGCAACAGCUCAAAUUUGAAAUCUGGCCCUUGGGUCCGAAUUGUAAUUUGUAGAGGAUGAUUUUGGUGCGGUAUCUUCCGAGUUCCUUGGAACAGGACGCCUUAGAGGGUGAGAGCCCCGUACGGUUGAAUGCCUAGCCUCUGUAAAUCUCCUUCGACGAGUCGAGUAGUUUGGGAAUGCUGCUCUAAAUGGGAGGUAAAUUUCUUCUAAAGCUAAAUAUUGGCCAGAGACCGAUAGCGCACAAGUAGAGUGAUCGAAAGAUGAAAAGCACUUUGAAAAGAGGGUUAAAUAGCACGUGAAAUUGUUGAAAGGGAAGGAUUUGUGACCAGACUUUUUCUGGGCGGAUCAUCCGGGGUUCUCUCCGGUGCACUUCGCCCAGUAAAGGCCAGCAUCGGUUUUCGGCGUGGGAUAAAAGCAGUAGGAAUGUGGCUCUCUACGGGGAGUGUUAUAGCCUAUUGUAUAAUACCGCGCUGGGGACCGAGGUUCGCGCUUCUGCAAG